rnacentral:rRNA from 1 species
UACGUAGGUGGCAAGCGUUGUCCGGAUUUACUGGGCGUAAAGAGCGCGCAGGCGGUCGUUUAAGUCGAAUGUGAAAGCCCCCGGCUCAACUGGGGAGGGUCAUUCGAUACUGAUCGACUUGAAGGCAGGAGAGAGAAGUGGAAUUCCCGGUGUAGUGGUGAAAUGCGUAGAUAUCGGGAGGAACACCAGUGGCGAAGGCGACUUCUUGGCCUGUUCUUGACGCUGAGGCGCGGAAAAGCUGGGGGGAGCAAACGGG